rnacentral:rRNA from 1 species
UACGAAGGGGGCUAGCGUUGCUCGGAAUUACUGGGCGUAAAGGGCGCGUAGGCGGCACUGUUAGUCAGGCGUGAAAUUCCUGGGCUCAACCUGGGGACUGCGCUUGAUACGGCAGAGCUAGAGGAUGGAAGAGGCUCGCGGAAUUCCCAGUGUAGAGGUGAAAUUCGUAGAUAUUGGGAAGAACACCGGUGGCGAAGGCGGCGAGCUGGUCCAUUACUGACGCUGAGAAGCGAAAGCAUGGGGAGCGAACAGG